rnacentral:rRNA from 1 species
AUGAACGCUAGCUACAGGCUUAACACAUGCAAGUCGAGGGGCAUCAGGAAGAAAGCUUGCUUUCUUUGCUGGCGACCGGCGCACGGGUGAGUAACACGUAUCCAACCUGCCCUUUACUCGGGGAUAGCCUUUCGAAAGAAAGAUUAAUACCCGAUAGCAUAAUGAUUCCGCAUGGUUUCAUUAUUAAAGGAUUCCGGUAAAGGAUGGGGAUGCGUUCCAUUAGGUUGUUGGUGGGGUAACGGCCCACCAAGCCUUCGAUGGAUAGGGGUUCUGAGAGGAAGGUCCCCCACAUUGGAACUGAGACACGGUCCAAACUCCUACGGGAGGCAGCAGUGAGGAAUAUUGGUCAAUGGGCGCUAGCCUGAACCAGCCAAGUAGCGUGAAGGAUGAAGGCUCUAUGGGUCGUAAACUUCUUUUAUAUAAGAAUAAAGUGCAGUAUGUAUACUGUUUUGUAUGUAUUAUAUGAAUAAGGAUCGGCUAACUCCGUGCCAGCAGCCGCGGUAAUACGGAGGAUCCGAGCGUUAUCCGGAUUUAUUGGGUUUAAAGGGAGCGUAGGUGGACUGGUAAGUCAGUUGUGAAAGUUUGCGGCUCAACCGUAAAAUUGCAGUUGAUACUGUCAGUCUUGAGUACAGUAGAGGUGGGCGGAAUUCGUGGUGUAGCGGUGAAAUGCUUAGAUAUCACGAAGAACUCCGAUUGCGAAGGCAGCUCACUGGACUGCAACUGACACUGAUGCUCGAAAGUGUGGGUAUCAAACAGGAUUAGAUACCCUGGUAGUCCACACAGUAAACGAUGAAUACUCGCUGUUUGCGAUAUACAGUAAGCGGCCAAGCGAAAGCAUUAAGUAUUCCACCUGGGGAGUACGCCGGCAACGGUGAAACUCAAAGGAAUUGACGGGGGCCCGCACAAGCGGAGGAACAUGUGGUUUAAUUCGAUGAUACGCGAGGAACCUUACCCGGGCUUGAAUUGCAACUGAAUGAUGUGGAGACAUGUCAGCCGCAAGGCAGUUGUGAAGGUGCUGCAUGGUUGUCGUCAGCUCGUGCCGUGAGGUGUCGGCUUAAGUGCCAUAACGAGCGCAACCCUUAUCUUCAGUUACUAACAGGUCAUGCUGAGGACUCUGGAGAGACUGCCGUCGUAAGAUGUGAGGAAGGUGGGGAUGACGUCAAAUCAGCACGGCCCUUACGUCCGGGGCUACACACGUGUUACAAUGGGGGGUACAGAAGGCAGCUAGCGGGUGACCGUAUGCUAAUCCCAAAAGCCUCUCUCAGUUCGGAUCGAAGUCUGCAACCCGACUUCGUGAAGCUGGAUUCGCUAGUAAUCGCGCAUCAGCCACGGCGCGGUGAAUACGUUCCCGGGCCUUGUACACACCGCCCGUCAAGCCAUGGGAGCCGGGGGUACCUGAAGUACGUAACCGCAAGGAUCGUCCUAGGGUAAAACUGGUGACUGGGGCU